GACAACAUGGUUCAAUAGAAAGAAUGCUGGUUUUAGAAUCAAUGGACCUGAAUUUAAGUCUCAGUUCUGUCA
rnacentral:tRNA from 1 species